UCUAAUGUUAAUACAAAAUUGAAAGUAAACUGAAAGGGGAAUUUAGGGUUACGUGUUGUGGCUCUUGGAAUUUCUCUAAAGCUUCCUCCUCCCUUCCUUCAAUCGUGAGCGGCGCCGGUGAGACGCAACUUCACCUUUUCCGAUCAAGAUCUCAAAUCGCGCUGUGAGAACGGGACAACUUCGUCCCUCAUCCUCCCCUGUCCAAUUGCCUCAGUGCUUUCUCGAACUCAGCACACUCUCAAACUCCCUCACCUCCUCUCGAUUCAAAAUCGCGGCGAUCACCACCGCAAACAUCUCUUCGCUCAAAUCGUCUCCCUCAGAAUCUCAUCUCUCAGUUAUCUCCUGUCGGAGAAGUUUCGGUGACUCUUCCGAGGUGACGCAGAUGAAUAAAACUUCAGAAAGUAUCAACGUGAAAUCCAGGUGAAGGUAUACCGAAAGUGAUGAUCAAAGCGGUGGAAUUGUCCUUAAAGAUUAAUGAAGAUGCGCAGAGUUUGUCAAGAUGAUGAACAGCGAUGGUGAUGAUUAUUGUGGAUAAAGGUCGAUAUGGUUUAUGGAGAUUUUCUGGUUUUCUUUUGGAGGAUUUGUGGAAGGUUGUUAGAGAUGAAGAUGAAUUGAAGAAUUGUUUCCAGAGAUGAAGAUUGAAGAGGUUUUGCUGUUAGGUCGUGAAGAUUGAAAGGAGCGAUUGAAGAUGAUGAAAUUGAUGAUUGAAACGUUAAGAAGAAGAUCCAGAAAGAGAAAUUUCUGUUGAAGAGUUUGUUCCAUUUUCUCUGGUUUGGUUUUGGUGAAGUUGUUGCCUUGCAGUUCGGUUCAGAGGCUUGAGUGUGCUGCGGAUUUGUUUCAGUUUUGAUGCAGGAAUUUUUUCUAUGUGAUUCUAUUUUGUAUACUAAUUUGGAUACUGUAAUGGAUAGUAUAUUUUGUAAUGAACAUGAACUUUUGUAUAAUAUGGAUAUGG